rnacentral:rRNA from 1 species
CAUAGGUUAAUGAGGCGAACCGGGGGAACUGAAACAUCUAAGUACCCCGAGGAAAAGAAAUCAACCGAGAUUCCCCCAGUAGCGGCGAGCGAACGGGGAGCAGCCCAGAGCCUGAAUCAGUGUGUGUGUUAGUGGAAGCGUCUGGAAAGGCGCGCGAUACAGGGUGACAGCCCCGUACACAAAAAUGCACAUGCUGUGAGCUCGAUGAGUAGGGCGGGACACGUGGUAUCCUGUCUGAAUAUGGGGGGACCAUCCUCCAAGGCUAAAUACUCCUGACUGACCGAUAGUGAACCAGUACCGUGAGGGAAAGGCGAAAAGAACCCCGGCGAGGGGAGUGAAAAAGAACCUGAAACCGUGUACGUACAAGCAGUGGGAGCACGCUUAGGCGUGUGACUGCGUACCUUUUGUAUAAUGGGUCAGCGACUUAUAUUCUGUAGCAAGGUUAACCGAAUAGGGGAGCCGAAGGGAAACCGAGUCUUAACUGGGCGUUAAGUUGCAGGGUAUAGACCCGAAACCCGGUGAUCUAGCCAUGGGCAGGUUGAAGGUUGGGUAACACUAACUGGAGGACCGAACCGACUAAUGUUGAAAAAUUAGCGGAUGACUUGUGGCUGGGGGUGAAAGGCCAAUCAAACCGGGAGAUAGCUGGUUCUCCCCGAAAGCUAUUUAGGUAGCGCCUCGUGAAUUCAUCUCCGGGGGUAGAGCACUGUUUCGGCAAGGGGGUCAUCCCGACUUACCAACCCGAUGCAAACUGCGAAUACCGGAGAAUGUUAUCACGGGAGACACACGGCGGGUGCUAACGUCCGUCGUGAAGAGGGAAACAACCCAGACCGCCAGCUAAGGUCCCAAAGUCAUGGUUAAGUGGGAAACGAUGUGGGAAGGCCCAGACAGCCAGGAUGUUGGCUUAGAAGCAGCCAUCAUUUAAAGAAAGCGUAAUAGCUCACUGGUCGAGUCGGCCUGCGCGGAAGAUGUAACGGGGCUAAACCAUGCACCGAAGCUGCGGCAGCGACGCUGAUGCGUUGUUGGGUA